GUAGGGAAUCUUCCGCAAUGGACGAAAGUCUGACGGAGCAACGCCGCGUGAGCGAAGAAGGUCUUCGGAUCGUAAAGCUCUGUUGUCAGGGAAGAACAAGUGCCGUUCGAACAGGGCGGUACCUUGACGGUACCUGACGAGGAAGCCACGGCUAACUACGUGCCAGCAGCCGCGGUAAUACGUAGGUGGCAAGCGUUGUCCGGAAUUAUUGGGCGUAAAGCGCGCGCAGGCGGUUCCUUAAGUCUGAUGUGAAAUCUCGCGGCUCAACCGCGAGCGGCCAUUGGAAACUGGGGAACUUGAGUGCAGGAGAGGGGAGCGGAAUUCCACGUGUAGCGGUGAAAUGCGUAGAGAUGUGGAGGAACACCAGUGGCGAAGGCGGCUCUCUGGCCUGUAACUGACGCUGAGGCGCGAAAGCGUGGGGAGCGAACAGGAUUAGAAACCCCAGUAGUCC
rnacentral:rRNA from 1 species